rnacentral:tRNA from 3 species
GCGGGCAUAGUUUAGUGGUAAAACUUCAGCCUUCCAAGCUGAUUAUGAGAGUUCGAUUCUCUCUGCCCGCU